GCAGUUAGGCCAGGCAGGCCUCCUCGAUUAACUGAUCUGUGCUGAAGUGCCAUCCUAACUUCCCGAGUAGAUUCUCCUGACCUCAGGGUGGUGAGGUACUCAUGUGCAACCAACCCAUCUCCUCUGUCGGAAGACCUCCAUUCAUCCUUGGCCAGCCUUCUGAAGUCUCCCUUUAUGAAUACUCGGGAUAUGCUCUUUGGGGGAUGACACCACCACAGGCUCACGGACUGAAGAGCAGCUUGGUGCUCCUGUAAUGAGGCCCGUGGUCUCAUUUCUUCCAUCUGAGUGGUACCUUCUCACAUGUUCUGUACCAGAAUCAAGAGGUCUCAUAUCCCCUACCUGAAUAUCGACUGUACCUUAACCACAUGAAUGUUCUGUGAGUCUCAACUCCCAUAAUGAAGUGUCAGAAGUAUUCAUUUCUCCUAAAAAGAAAUCUCCUCUCCCUGCCUGAGGACCGUCUCAUCUCCCUACCUAAACAUCAUAUACUUCCCUCCUCUCCAAGAAUAUCACC
rnacentral:lncRNA from 1 species